UCUCCCGGAACUGGCUUCCUUUGCCUGGCACUGCAGGGAAAUCCGUGUGCUGGGGAGUGAGCCUGACUGCUCCCACGUGGGCCCUGCGGAGGCCGACAAGAGCAGCCCCAUCCCGCCUUUCUGCACCCGCUGAAGAAGGGCAGUGCUGAUCUGGAAUAGGAACGUGGCUCACGGGGGCUUUUUGGCCAGGCAGACCGGCUGCUCCAGCCAUGCCCCACUUCUUGGAUUGGUUCGUGCCCGUGUACCUGAUGAUCUCCAUUCUCAUCCUGGUGGGCUUUGGAGCUUGCAUUUACUACUUCGAGCCGGGCCUCCAGGAAGCCCAUAAGUGGCGAACGCAGAGGCCGAUCAUGGAACGGGACCUACGGAAGACGUUGAUGAUUCGGGACAACCUUGCCUUUGGGGUGCCUGAGGUCUAAAAUGCCGCCCACGAGGGGUGAGCUCUGCACGCUGUGUCCAGAAGAGCCUCUCCUGUGUGGAUGGACAUCCACAGGUCUUGGUCAGGAUGGCAGGUCUCCCACAUGCAAGUGGGGUGGAUCAAUGMUUUGUUCUUUGCUGCUAUGUGAAUUUUACUGUUCACUUUUCUUUCCCUUCAACCCUUAAGCAAUGUCUAUGUGGCGCUGCAGACUCAGGACUUUCCACCUGUCCACAACCCUUUAUCCUGCAGGGACUCCUGCACCUCUGAUGGCUGGGACUGAUCAAUCACUAAAGCGAAAAGGUGUCUUGUUAGUCACUGUUGAGAUUGAGACAACAUGUCUUGAUAUGACCUUCACAAAGAAAGGUCUCUGCAAGGAUACUGGCCUUCUGAGAGGACACAGAGCCUUUUAUUCCUCAUUGCUGGGUUAAACCUAAUCCAGGCACCUUAAGUCAGAGAAGUGUUUUUGGUGAAAUGAAUUUGGUGGCUUUCAGCCCAGUUCCUUGCCUCGGUGGAGCUCUUCACAGCAGUCAGCCUUGGCAAUGUGCUGGUAAGCUUGCUGAAGCUCACCUCAGCUUACCCGUGCGCGGAGGGGCUGAGGACUGACAGCCCUGGAGACUGAAUGCCUUUCUUGCUGCUCGAGCUGCACUGCUUUCUUGUGUCUGUUUUGGAGCCUCAGAGUUUGGAGCUCUAACCUGGCAUUGCCAUAAGCACAACAUUCAUGUUAAGAUCAUUACUAAAGAGGGUUGUCUAAGCCCUGUGCCAAGCAGAGACAUUCUGCAGCGCUCCAUGAAGCGGUGCUGCCAGAUUGAUCUCGUAAGCCUCUCCUGGGGCACCGCGAAGCACCUGGUCUUCUGCUCCRCUCUGCUACUAAAGGAGAUGGGGCACUUUUCUACAAAUUGAUUUACACAUUUGCACUUGUUUGGUCCCCUGCACCCAAGAAUCAUCCUGAGCAAAUUCCUGGAGCCCCAGGUGCUACUCUCCCUUCACUGUCAUCCUCACUGCAAGCUGUGAAACAUCCCUCAACACCCUUUCUCUGCCUGUCUCUGAGAAGGGACAUUGAGCCAUUCAGUGAAAUGAACCUGUUGCACYGCCUGUGGUUUCCGGACCUGAGCUGUAUGAUGUGGGUCUCGCACAAAAUCCCAUGUUCAUAUUGCAGUAUUUGCACUUUCCUCACUCCCCUGGGGCUGACCCGCUACCAAAGCACUGUAAGAAGAUGUGAAGCUGGGGGUACCUGGGCCAUUGACACCUUUCCCUCCCCGCCAGUGGUGUGCAAUGCCUGGGGAGCAAAGUAAGCCUUGGGGGAGCCCUGASCCCCUGACAGGAGGCUUUACCAAGUGCCAAACCUGGUUCUCGCUGGUGCAUAUCAUGCUGCCGCGUCACUGUUGUGUGUUGUGCUCCUGCCUCCACCUCUGCAGGACACUGUAAUGAGCUGCUUGCUGGCCCAGCCAGUGUGAAGGUACAUGGUGCUGCUGUCCUGUGCCAUCUACAGAGCCCUGGUCACAGCAAUCCCUCCUCCUCUCACCCAGAAAACACUCUUUAUAUACGCAAGUUGUAUAGGUGUCUUGUACCCCAUCGCACGCACGCUGGAGGGUGUAAGCCAGCCACCACAACACCAAUGUCCAUGCGUCCAAGCGACCUACACUGCCACCUGCACAUGCUGCAUCCAUGUCCCCAGGCACCAGCUCUGUGCCACAGACCCCAAAGGCUCCUUUGUCCAGCAGGACGCUCRAUCCAGCUGUGGAAGGAGGCUUCCUCCUUCCAUCACAGCUCGUCAAAGGAGGGAUGGUGUUGCUCAGCCUCCAAGAAGAGGUGGGCAGCGUGCAAUAACUCUCCUUUGAAACUGUCGGCAGAGGCUUUCUCCUCCAUUACCGAGGGGAGGAGAGUGCACUGGACUGAUGUAGCUGAGUGAUGUUCUCCUGGUAAUUCUAUGAGGAGAAAGUUAAUUUUUAGAUCCAAGGGUUUUGACUCAGUAGGGAAUGGAUCAGGGAAUCUUGUAAAUAGCCUAGGUCUUUCUGACGCUUUCCAUCUGCCAAAUUGCCAUGGUAUCACCAUUUUCUUUCUCAGCAAAACGGCAAGACUUUUCUAGCUGUGUUUGAGCCAGGCUGAAAAUUAGAGAGUCCCUCCAUUCAGCCAAAAGCAGAGCUCUUGAUGCAAGAGGUCUUGAUGCCCUGGCCUGGGGAGUUUCAUUCCGCAGGCAAGUGAAAUGAGUGGGACGAUUCCUGUGCUGAAAGCGAGCACGGGKGCAGUUUGAAACAGGUACCUCUUGGGUGUUUUUGUUCCUCGGUGAGUCAGGCCUGUGGAAGGAAAACACCACAGGGCUGCACCGCGUGGCAUCACUCACCGUCCCCAGCUGCACCGAUCGUAUCUACAGCCCUCCAGAACAAUACAGACGUAGUCUCCAAGGGUCAGCUUGGAAACCUGCUUCCCAUCAUUGCUGGCAGCUAGGGCUGCAAUGCAACAUACUACAGCCACAAUAACGGGGUAGCAGUACAAGCUUUUGUAGUAGAGAUCAGGUAGUAGAGAGCGAGGUUGGGGACAGGCCAGGCUGUCGCUGUGCAACAAGACUGUCUGUUGAGCCAGUUUAUGGUAAGGAAAUCCCUCUCACUAAUCCAAUAAAGUGAAAGGCCCAGCACGCCGUGCCGUGUGAGUGCACCCUGCGCGAGGGUGCUCUGCAGCGAGCUGGCAGGCUGGGCUGCCACRGGCUUGCCCACGGGCUUGCCGUGGGUCUGCUGGCUCUCGCUGGCCCCUUGGCACCUCGUGCCUGCUCUGCAUGAUCUCCUGUGUGCAAUCUUGCCUGCUUUCAUCUCCUCUGCACCCAGGGUUCUGUACAGGAASCUGAACAAAAAGGAGGAAAGUAGUUCAGCCCUGUCCCGCUUGCUUUUGCCUUUUUGUUCAGUUUUCUAUGGCAAAUCCUGGGGCUUGAAUGUCUCAAUAGAGAAAUAAGGAGGGCACCCGUGCAUUUAUUUGGCACUAAGCACUUGGCAGGGCCAACUGCUGGAGAUGGUGCCAGAGGAAACAACUUUGCCAGGGCAAAGAGGAGGACUGGGAAGUGAUCUUAUGAGUAUCUAUUGCCUUUGACAUCCCCAGUCCCUCUGUGUUCAUCUGCCUGAUGCCCUGACUUCAUCCCAAGAGCUAAAGAAGAAGCAAGACCAGGUUCCAAGGUCUACUGAAUGUUUUGCAAACUAUUUAUUUAACUACUCUG